UCAUGUAUAAUAUUAGUUUAUAAGGUAGAAAAUUGUCAGCUGGAAAAAAAUUAUCAUUUCAAAUAUGCAGCUAACUCUAACAUAUUGGAAUUUGGAUAUACGUGAACCAUUUUCUACAAAUGAUCCAGUACUUCCUCUUUCGACAUUCCGUCAUAUAUAAGUCAAUUACAACAUAGUCAAAUGUCAUUUCCACAAGCAUCUAUGUUUAUCAACUACAUACAUAAUUGGAUAUCAAACUAUUUUUUUGAUUCUCAGAGCUUGGGCUUGUGCAUAGCAUGAUCAUCAGAAUGAGUACCUGUAACUCAUGUAUCUCAUUUCAACUCCACAAACUAAUCAGAGUACACUAUGAAAAGUUUAUCCACUCCUUCCAUAAAAUUACUAACUUAUCAGGUUUGGGCUCGGGUUCAGCACUGGCCAUUCCACACUAGUUUUUUUUAUUAAUAAGGGACAGUUUUAGGAGCUUGGGGUCGUCAGGGACCUUUUGGGAAGGCUGAAAAAGUUUUAGGGUUAUUUUGGGAAAACUGGCCUAACAGACGUGGUAUCCCCAGUUCUGACGCAUAUCCUUCAAAAAAACCGGCGCCGCACUGGUUAGCCUAACACACGGUUCAUAAUCUCCUUCUAAUCUAUUGGUUUAUCGUAAGUUGUACCGUCUUUGAACACUUUUCUCUCCAGGUCGUCUGCUCUUUUCUUGCACUUCGAUGGAUUAUUGUGGUAAUUAUCCUUCUUUCUUAUCUGCAACUUCUUGUACCAUGGCUUCCAUAUUUCAUGGGAUACAUACUAGGAUCUAAUAUUCUACUGCGGAAACCAAUUAAACCAACACUUAAUGGAGUAAUAAAAUCAAACACAUCAGAAAAUCAAUGAGUGAAAUAUUAAUUGGGAACUGACCUCACUGCCUUUUCUAUUCUCUGUAUCAAAAUUGAUUGUAAAACCUAGCUCUGUAGCAAGAGGAAACACAAGUUGCUCUCCGUCAACGUGUGUGCUAACAUGUAAUAGGUGACGCAAUUGAUUAUUGCACCAUUCUCUUGGACUUUUGGGUAACUAUUUGAUAUUGUCGCUGAAGCUUGAGUUUUUUUUUUGCGUGAAGAAGAAUUGGGUAAAAGUUCUUAGGCAAAACUACUGUGCUAUAGGUGUUUGAUAAAUUUCUUAAAAGAAACUAAGUUUUCAUUAAACUUGUAGAUUUCUUUUCUGAUCUUGAGUUCUGUUUGAUCAUGGCUAUAUAGUUUACCGGCUCAAGACAGAAAAGCAAUUUAUCCUUGCGGUCCCUCCAUCUCAAGGAGUACGCUGAUUUGGUAAGAUAAUUUUUUUCCCAACUGACCGACAUUCAUGUUUGGUAAAUUACUUGCUAUGUGUGUCUAUCUGUGUUUUAACCAUUUUGACCAAUAAUACGGACGGAUGUGAUUUGCUUAACUAAUAUAUAUUUAUAUAUAAUAAGAGGGAAUAACAGGCACCUCUUGGUCAACAUUGCUUGGCAUUUAGAGGGUAUUCUGGUCAUUUCAAUUACAAUGGAGUAAUAUGAUUGGUCAAAAAAGAACCUUACUGUAGAUACUGUAUAAACUUUUGAGUGAUUUACCUAAACUGCCUUUUGCUUAUGUCAUUGCUCAUCACCCUUAAGAUAUGCAUAGCUUGGAAAAUGUUGGCUCAUCUGACCAUUUAUUCUACAUACCAUGCGUUUAUACUUUAUAGUAGCAUCUGAAAUUGCCACUUCCUAUCACGUGGACACCUCUUCUAUGUUUCAAAGUUCAAACUUUCAACACACCUUAUAUUUACGAAAUUGCCAUUUCCUAGAGUAUCAAAUGGCUUAUGUCAUGUUAAAUAUAUAUUACUACAUAACAGCCUUUUUUUCCAGCUAUAUUCUAACCCAAGGUACAUCAAUUUUCAUUUUCCUUCCAAAACAAAUUGUUAUUAUUCUGUGUGCACAUUUUUGUAUUACUUGUAGUCAUUUUGCAAAACUUUUGUGGAUGAAAAUGUUGAAUUAGUAUUUUGAUGUCCAAACCUAUUACUCUUAUCAGAUUUUAAUUCUAGGAGUAAAAAAUUAUUUCUUACAAUAGAUUGUAGAAAAUUUAUCAAAAAUGAAACAAGAUAGAAACCUAAUACAAUGGAAGUGAUACAUGGCAUUUAUUGGAGUAAAGAAAAUUACUUUUGUAAAACUAAAUUAUAGAAAAUUUAUCAAAAAAAAAAAAACAUACAAACCUAAUACUCUAGACGUAAUAUAAGACUAUUCCAAAUGAAGUGAAUAUUUUUAUUCAAUAAUUUAUAAUAGAAGAAAUAUGAAUUAUGCACACAAUAGCGAUAUGAAAAAAAAAUCUAAAAUGAUUGAUUAGCAGGCAAAAUCCAUUAGUUUAGUAUUAUCAAGCGGCGUGAUUAACUUGGUGCAAAUUUAGUGUAACAUUGGUGGAGAUAUCAGUUUCUUUACGAUGAUAUUAAAGAUAAAUUUCCUAAUCAAAUAGAAGAAGAAAAUUUAUUAUGCUAAUAAAUUUUAUAAAAAUUAAGCAAAAACCUAAAAAAAUUACAGAAGAAUUAAGAGAGAGAAAGGGAUUUAAUUGGGAUCCAAGGGUAUUGAUAUAUCUACAAAAAUAAAAAACAUAAACAAUAAAAAUAUUAAACUAUAUGCCUUAACUUGGGAAAAAGAUGUUUUCAUUUCAAAAGGUUGAAACACAAAAACAAAUAAUCACCUUGCUUGUAAAAAUGAUAAGAAAAUGUUUAUACUAUCCAUGUAUAUAAAUUAAAAAAUAUUUUUUACUCUUGCUAAUUAUCUCAAUUUAAACGUAGUGUUAUUGGGCCAUGCGCAACAUGGGCUACCCUUACUAUAUAUCUUAUACAAGGGAAAAUCAGCUAGCACGAGAUCAACAUUCUAGCUUGGCAACCGGAUGCCAGUCCGGAGAUAUUACAAAGUUUAGUAGUUAAAGUGUCAUCCAUUGUGCAGUAAGUAUGGGACUUUCUUGAUCAGAUAACAGCUGCAUUCGGUUCAUCGUAUUCCUGAGAAUACUUUUCGGCGCUGGACUAUAUGGGGAUUCAGCUGAUUUCGCAAACCAACACGUCAGAGACGUUCCAAUGAAUUAGACUAAUGUCUAUACGUUACUGCC
rnacentral:lncRNA from 1 species